rnacentral:rRNA from 1 species
AUAAUUAACUUUUUUUAAGGAAUUUAUAUUUUAGUAUCUAGUGAAUUAAUUUUUAUUUAUUACUGAUAAGGAUAAUAAAUAUAUUUAUAUUGAAAAAUUUUUAGUACCUUUUGUAUCAGGGUUAAUUUAAUUAUUAAUUUAUAAUUAUUUUCUCGAAUUUAAAAAAUUUAAGUUAAUAUAAUUUUAUAUGUUUUAUAAUAUUGUUUAAUAUUAAUUUUAUAAUUAAAAGUUAAUUGUUUUUUUAUAUAUCUGGUUUUAAUGGAAAUUAAUUUAAUUAAGGAGUUAUUAUUUUAUUUAUUAAUUAUAUUUUAAUUCUUAUAAUAUUAAGGAUAAUCUUAAUAUUUUAUUAUAAUUUAUUAUUAUAUAUUUUUAUUAUUUUUAGUAUUAUUAUUUUAGUUUUUAAUAAAUUUAAAUAUUUUAUUAUGAUUUUUUUUUAUUUAAUAUUUUACAUUUUUUUUUUUAUUAAUUUUUUUUAUUAUAAAUAAUGAUUAAAUUAGUAUAAUUUAUAAUUUUUAUUUAUGAAUUUGACAAAUAUUUAUUUUUAACUGUUUAUCAAAAACAUUUCUUUUAGGAUUAAAAUUAAAAGUAAAUUCUGCUCUAUGAUUAUUUAUUUUAAAUGGCUGCAGUAUUUUAACUGUACAAAGGUAGCAUAAUAAUUUGUUACUUAAUUGGUAACUGGAAUGAAUGAAUAAAUAAGAAAUAAUUUUUAUUAGUAAUAUUAUUAUAAUUUUAUUUUUUAGUAAAAAAGCUAAAUUUUAUUCUUGGGACGAUAAGACCCUAUAGAACUUAAAUUAAUUUUUGUUUAUUUAUUUUAAUUAUAUUAUUAAAUUUAAAAUUAAUUUUUAUUGGGGUGAUAAAUAAAUUUACUCUUUAUUUUAUAUAUUCAUGUAUAAUUGUUUUUUUUGAUCCAAUGGUUUUGAUUUUAAGUUAAGUUACCUUAGGGAUAACAGCGUAAUUUUUAUGGAAAGUUCACAUUUAUAUAUAAGUUUGCGACCUCGAUGUUGAAUUAGGAUAAAUUUAUUAGGUAGUAUUUUUAAUAUUAAGUCUGUUCGACUUUUAAUUUCCUACAUGAUUUGAGUUCAAACCGGUGUAAGCCAGGUUGGUUUCUAUCUUAGAUUAUUUAUUUUCUUUUAGUACGAAAGGACCAUUGAAAUCAAUUUUUAUUGUU